rnacentral:rRNA from 1 species
UGGGGAAUAUUGCACAAUGGGCGCAAGCCUGAUGCAGCCAUGCCGCGUGUAUGAAGAAGGCCUUCGGGUUGUAAAGUACUUUCAGCGGGGAGGAAGGGAGUAAAGUUAAUACCUUUGCUCAUUGACGUUACCCGCAGAAGAAGCACCGGCUAACUUCGUGCCAGCAGCCGCGGUAAUACGGAGGGUGCAAGCGUUAAUCGGAAUUACUGGGCGUAAAGCGCACGCAGGCGGUUUGUUAAGUCAGAUGUGAAAUCCCCGGGCUCAACCUGGGAACUGCAUCUGAUACUGGCAAGCUUGAGUCUCGUAGAGGGAGGUAGAAUUCCAGGUGUAGCGGUGAAAUGCGUAGAGAUCUGGAGGAAUACCGGUGGCGAAGGCGGCCCCCUGGACGAAGACUGACGCUCAGGUGCGAAAGCGUGGGGAGCAAACAGG